UUUAAAAGAAAGAGUAUUUCGCUUCUAGUUGAUUAUUAAUAACCGGCGGAUAAGUAGUAAGUAUGGUAAUGGCAUACUUAGCUUGUGUCCGUAGUCAGGACUGAGAGGUCUAUUGACCACACUGGGUCUGAAAAAACCCCAGUGCGUGUAGUACAGCAGUGAGGAAUUUUGGUCAAUGGCCUAACGGCUGAACCAGCAACUUGCAGGAAUGAGAGUUAAUAUAAUAAGUUUAUUAACUUGCUUGACUAGGUCUUAUAAAAUUCUGGAUAAAGCUUAUUAUGAAAACUUUAUAUCCAUAGGUCUCGACCAAAUCUUGUGCCAGCAGUCGCGGUAAGACAAGGGAGACGAGUGUUAUUCAUCUUUAACAGGUAUAUAGGGUACCUAGACGGUGUACAAAGGCUUAGA
rnacentral:rRNA from 1 species